CUGCCCUCGCGGCUCCUCCCCUCUAGCGUCCUUUCCUCCCCGAGUGCAGAGGACAGGGUCACCGGCGAGGACCGCCUUGCACCGUCUCGCAGAGGCAUCCCUUUCAUCCGCUCUUCCAUGUCCUUUCCCUCCAUUUGUGCCAUUCCCAACCUGGAGACUUUAGUCAGGGUUCCUUCCCCACCCCUGAUCCCCAGAGAUGUGCAGACACCUGCUUUGCGCAUGUAAAGACUCGACGCAUUUCUUCCCAAAGCGGAGUUUUAUUUAACAAUUUACGGAUAAACAAAACAGAGGGAAGGAGAACCCAGGAUAACUUAGUCUCUUGCACUUAAUAAGAAUUUACCUCUUGGGCUCUGCAGACAUUUGAAGCUGUAGGGAACAAGAAGCAGGUAAAAGGCAUCUCCCCGAGGUGGAGUGCACAGUCGGUAACAUAAGUCCCCAACGUCGGAGUGAUGGGCAGUGGAAACAUGGACGGAUCCCGCAGCUUUGCGCAGUGUGCCCACAGCAAGUGCAUAGUACUGACUGACGUCUACUAAGAGACGAUACUGUGCAAUUUUUGUGUUGAAAUCUCGAACAGCUGUCUAGUAUUAUUAUCUCAUCUUGUUGACCACAAAUUGAUUCUUUAGAAGGAUGAGUAACUUCCCCAAGGUCAUUACUUUUGACCUGUGGGUGCUGGAUUUUUCAUCACUUAAAGCUCCAAAGCUCCCAGCUCUUUUUAUUGGCUUAGGCUGUGGAUGCCUCUGGAAGAUGGGAGAUGUACUUUAAGUAGGCACCUGAAGUCAGAAAACAAACAAAAUGCCCAAGCCAGGUUGGAAAUCAGAACUCUGAGGAUCACUCAGAGGUUGUAGAUCCGCUUCCUUUCUGGGAAUUUUAGAUUAAAUGUCUAAAAAUAAGUUACGGCAGCAGGGGUUGUGUAGUUAGAUUGGAGGGAAGGCAGAGCUGCUUCCCCUUCCUCUCCACCUCCCCAGGCAUGUUGAGGGAACACACGGGUGCUUCCACCACUGCGAGGUGCCCCUUUCACCUUUAGUCUCUGGGGCUGAAGAUGCUGCUGUUGGCUUCUUCCUGUGAUUGUAGUGGUCUGGGUGGUUGGAAAUGAUCUCCUCUGCUCUGUAGAGGAUCUUUCUAAUCAGUGCAAGGGCAGCUCAGUACUUGAUAUGUACUGAAUUCUCAGAGAAGAACCUUGUCAAACUGCGAAGGAGAUGGCAGGAAGAAAGUAAGAAAGCUGUAAGAGUUUUGAAUAGAACAGGAAGUUUUCCUAAUGUUUAUGUGGUGAUAGAAAGAUAAAGGAAUCAAUAGAUCCUAUUAUAGAAACUUUCUUAAUUCUUGUUGCUUUUGAUUAAGUGAUACUGUGGGAAAUGCCAAACCAAAGCAGUGUUUGUUUCUUCCAUCAGAUCCUCACCCAUUUCAUUUGCUCCUCAGAAAUGAACCUGAAUUCAGAAUUUAUGUGCAAGGCUUUAUUCAUGGCACCUGACAUGGUAACAAUAAUAGUAACAAUUAAGCUAACAAGUUAUUAGGUGCUUAUUAUCUGCCUGACACUAUGCUAGUAUGUAUUGUCUCAUUUAAUCCUCAUAAGAAUCUUGUAUAAAUUGAUAUAUCAUUAUCCACAUUUAUGAAAAUGAACAUGCCCUGGUCUUCAAGGGAGUUGCUAUAAUCCCAUGGAAAAGACAGAUAAUGUAUAUAAUUAACUAACUGGAAAUAGGGCCAUCAAAGACAGGAAACAUAGCAGAGUGAAAACCUUAUGGAUUUGGGAGCUGUCAGAACAUGGUUGGAAUUCUGGCUGUAUCCCUUUCUAGUUGUGCAAUCAUUGGUAAGUCCAAUCUCAGAGCUUCAGUUCCUCCAUUUGUAAAUUGGGGCUUGUAAGAAUGUCUUACAAGUUUGUGGUGAAAAUUACAUGAUAGCAUAUAGACAGCGCCUGGAAUGAUGCUUGCCACAUAGCUCUGUUUAAUACGUGAUUGUUAUAACAAUAGAAACACCAGUGAAGUGCUGGGGAUGUUCCCAGAACAUGACAUUUAAUUCUACUGAAGGGAGGGAAAUCGGGUUUCAGAGAGGAGGUGGUGUUUGGAGUAAGCCUCCAAGGAUGGUAGGGUGGCAUAGUGGUAAGAGGUGAGGAUAGAAGUAUAUGCCAGGCAGAGAGAACAGCAAAGAUCAAGGCGGAGAGAUUUGGAAGUGCCUGAUGUGUUUACUGUAUGGAAAGUUAUUAAGUCACCCAUGGAGACCACCAUAGAAAAGUGGGCUGGGUGGUAGGACGAAGCCAGGAGUCUUUGAAUGUAUUUAAGGUAUGGCUCAUUAGAAAUGGACAAACAUCAAGGAUCUAAUGGUACUGGCUGCAUGUUAGCUAUCAGCAGAGGUGGCACAUCACUGUUACCAGUGGGUUUGGGAAGUAGAAUAGAGGUUAAUACAGUGAAGUGGUUGUUUUGAAAAUUCUGUCGACUCAUUGGGUGGUAACCGUUACUCUAAGCAGUCAAGUCCUUUCUUUUUCAAAAUUUUGAACAAACGACUGUUUUCAGCAGUUCCACCUUUAUGUGGCCUCUUUAUUUCCCUAUUUUUGAAUCCAGGGAUGUUAAAAGCUCAAUUUCCAUAAUUGUCCUGGUGGCAGGAAAAGGGCAUUGGGAGUGGAGGGGAGGAGCAUAGGUGCAGCCAUCUGUACAGGUAAAAUAUAAGUUUAGUGUUUGUAAGUUGGGGGUUUAUGGAAUUCACUUUGAAAAGGUAGUUUGGGAAAAAGAGGGUUUAAUAAGUUUUGAUGCUCAAGAAAAUAUGCUACAGUUAUGUUGCAAAUUUACAAAUGUGGAAAAAAAUCUCAUCAGCAAUAAUCACAAUAGCAAAAAUCAAUCACUAACCCUUACUGGAUACGUAAAAUAUACCAGGCCUAGUUCUUAGCACUUAUAUAUGUUUUUUUUUCCCCAAAGCAACCUUAUAAAGUAGGUUUGUGUAUGUUCCUUGUUUUAUAGAUGAGGAUAUGGAGGUUUAGACAGAUCCAUGAACAAAAUGAUGGAGUUUGAUUUCCAACCUGGAGCUAUUUAAUUCUAAACCUCAUGCUUGUUCCCUGCUCAUUUGGGAUAAAUGAAGCAAUGCUGUAUACAUCUCUCUCAUGAUUUGGCUCUGAUUACUUCUCCAAUGUCAUCUUUCAUCAGUUUUUCUUUUUAUUCUUUGCUAAUAUUGGAAUAAUUAAAAAUAGGCCAGGCUAUAUUGGUUUUGCUCGAGCCACCCACUCCACCUGGAAUGACUUGACUUGAAGGCCACAUCUUCCUGCCUUUUACCUGGCCAGUUCCUUCUCAUCUCUUGACAGUGCAUUAUAGUGGGUAAGAGCAAAGGUUCUGAAGUCAGCUGUGUUCAAAUUCUGAUUCCAUCACUUGCUGUGUUCUUGAGCAAAUCAGCCUUCAUUGCUCAUUUCUCUAUCCAUAAAAUGGGGCUUCUUAUAGGACUGUUGUAAGAAUUAGAUUAGAUAAUGUGUUUAAAAUGUUUAGAACUAUUUCCAGUAUAUAAUUAAUGCUCAGUCCUUGUUAGUUCGCCUCAAGGUGGCUUCCCUUACUCCUUCUUCCCUUCCCAGGCUGUGCUUAGAACUCCUCCUCUCUGUUUUCUUUAUACCAUGCAUGUAUGAUUGUAAUCCUUUCAGUUAUUCAAAAUACCUACUACUCUGUGUCUACCACUAUUACUGUAGGAUAGGAGAUGCUGGGUCUGUAGCUGUGAACUGAAUAAAAUUUUUGUUUUCUUGGAAUUUAUAGGAUAAUGAUGAGAGACAGAAAAUAAACAGAGAAAUAUACAAAUAACUGGUAGCGACAGGUGCAUUAGUGAUGAUGUAUUAAAAAUAUGAGUGCACUUGCCUGCCUUCCCUGCUAAAUUUUAAGUUUCUCACAGACAGGAACUGUGCCUCAUUCUUAGUUGCAUUCCCAGAGCCCAGCAUGGUCCCUGGCACACUAAAUUUUGCUUAGAUAUCAUGUGAAUGAAUGUUUAGGAAGGUGUGGAACCAGAUAGCCACCCAAUUGGUCAACAAAUAUUUAAUGAGACCUACUGUGUGUCCAGCACUCUGGCAGUGUAGCAGAUCAGAGGAGUAAGCAUCCUUUGUAUUCUCAAAGAGCUCUUACUCUAGAGCAGAGGUUCUUAAUUUCAACCCUCCUGACAUUUUAGGCUGCAUACUGCUUUGCUGUGGAGUGCUGUCCGGUACAUUGUAGAAUGUUCAGCAGCAUCCCUGGCCUCUGUCCACUAAAUGAGACAACCAAAUAUGUCUCCAGACUUGGCAAAAUACCUCCUGGGGGGAAAAUUGCCCCUGACUGAGAACCAUUGAUUUGCAGAAACAAAACCUGCCCUAUCGACAGGAUUUAAGAAACCUUGAAAGUAUGCGUAAUUAAGAACUAAAUUUGGAAACUACAAUAUAAAUGCUUUGACUGUUUAGAGAAAGGAGGUGUCUCUGUGGGCUCAAGUUGUUGGAGAAGGCCUCCUGGAAGAGGCCUGAAUGAACUGUACUUGAUAGACAGGUCUUGGUUAGGGAGGGUCAGGAGAGGGGAGGCGUUUUAGGAUAUUUAUAUAAGCAACCGUCUCUGUUGAAAGUAAUAUAACAGCUGUUUAAGAUUUUCACUAAUGUUCCCCUUAAUCCCUGGUGAGAGGGGUCCAUGCUCUGUGCCCUAUACUUUAAGGGGCCACAUCCUUCUUUUUCUCUGGUUUCACCCUUUCUCAGUGAGGCAGGGUGUUAAUGGGAUCUUUCUAGACUCUGGAAUUUCCUGCCCAAAUGACCCAACUCUACUUCUGCAGCCUGCCUGCCUGCGUGGGGCAUUUUCCCCAAUCUUCUUCCUGAGAGUGGCUUGCCCCCCUGGUAUGUACAAUCCUAGUCCACACAUCAGAGGGGGCAAGGAACGGCUAAGGGACAGCUCUUUGAGGGAGACAUUGUGGAAGGAUCUUUGAUUUGGUGCUGUGGGGCCCACAUAUGCAAGUGGUAUAGGCUUGCCCUGUGUCCCCAGAUUGCAGGACCAAACUUCCUGGAGUUUCAGGAGUCUAAAUUUGAAUUUGGCAUUCCAGAUUGUUAUGCAGAUUUGUUUGUCCAGGGAGGAGAAUAGAACAUGUUUUAUCGGUUUGUUGGUUUGAUGAUAACUUCUCAAUAUUAGAUACAGUUGUACUUUUGUUCUCUGCCUUGCAAAUGGAGGUGGUUGGAGAGUUUUUGGUCUGUACUGUAUAAUCAAUACUCGAGUGAAAAAUUAUAGUGGGUUUUUUGUAACUUGGGAGUCUAUCAGUCUUCUUUGAGAGCAAAGUGUUUUAGGAAACUAGUUGGAUCAAUUGAAUAAUUAUGUAAGUUAGUAUAGAAUGUGGUCAGUUAGUCUUUUGACAAAGUUGUGAGUCAUCUUGGAAAUAAUGAUACUAUGUAUCAUUAAUGCACUCUUCAUGAUGGAUUUGAUAGAUUUCUGGUAAAAUAAUCUAUUUUAGCUUCUCAUUCUGACCUGGCUCUAUCAGGAGCUGUGUGACCUUGGGCAAGUUACUUAACCUCUCUGUACCUUUGUUGCAUCAUCUGAAAAAUGAGUAUAAUGUGCUAAUCUACUUCAUAGGUUUGUGAUGAUAAUUAAAUCAGAUAAAGAAUGUAGACUCCAUAACCAUCCUCACUUGGCUGGGUGGGAUGAUAGGAAGUUUGUUCCCACCUGGAAAAUGUCUGGACUUUGGAGUCCCAGAGAUAAGGAUCUAAUCCUGGUUCUGUCAUUUAUCAACUUUGUGACAUUGAAAAAUUUACUUGGUCUUGCUGAGCCUUAGCCGCAGGUGGCAAUAGUUACCUUGAGAGGAUUAGUUGCUGGAUAAGUGCUAAUUAUUAGUCCAUAAUGAGGAGAAAAUCCAUGUCUUUGGACAAAUUCUGUGCCUAUUAAUUGUACUUUCAGUAAAAGAAUAUCUGACAAUGAAAUGUGACCUUGUGACACACGCUCUUUUUUCACAGAGUUAGUGCUGAGGGUGCUGUACUAUGGCCGGCAAAAUUUUAUGGAAGACAGCAGAGCCCAGCAAUAAAUCAACUGAUUUCAAUCAUUCAUUCAACCACAUUUGCUGAAUGUCUACCAUGUACCAGUUAGGUGCUGGCAAUACAGUGAUGAAUACAAGAACGUGGUCCCUGAUUUGUUAAUCUAAUUAACAAAUUUUAUAAUCUAAUUAACAGCAGUUCUCCCAUAUCUGUGGUUUUGUUUUCCAUGGCUUCAGUUGUCUAUGGUUAAUUUGGUCCAAAAAUAUUAAAUGGAAAUUCCAGAAAUAAACAAUUCAUAAGUUUUAAAUUGUGCUCUGUUUUGAGUAGCGUGAUGAGAUUUCACUUUGUCCCACUAUGUCUUGCCUGGGAUGCGAAUCUUCCCUUUGUUCAGCGUCUCCACACUGUUGACACUUGCUGCCCAUGAGUCACUUAAUAUCCAUCUUGGUGGUGGGAUCACCGUGCUUGUGUUCAAGGAACACCGAUUUUAUUUUACCAGUGGCCCCAAAAUGCAAGACUGAUGAUGCAGGUAUAUUGUUAUAAUUGUUCUAUUUUAUUAUUAGUUAUUAUUGUUCAUCUCUUACUGUGCCUAAUUUAUAAAUCAAAUUUUAUCAUAGGCAUGUAUGUAUAGGAAAAAAUAGGAAAAAACGGUAUAUAGGGCUUGGUACCAUCUGAAGUUUCAGACAUCCACUGGGGGUCUUGGAAUGUAUCCUCCACAGAUAAGAGGAGAUUCCUAGUUUCAUUCCUUAAAUCAGUAAGAAACCAAGUAACAUGGGGUUCCAAGGCUUACAGUUUGACUGUUUUGGAUAAUGAUAAUGAGUUUUGAAGGAAUCGAUUUUUAUCCCUUUCUGUUGAACUGUCUUCUAGCUGUGGCAUUGCAUGAGAGGGAAGCAGCCAAGACCGUAAGAGCUGUGUCGCUCUAAUUAGGUGCCAGGAGGAAGUGGAAAUGAAUUCAGAGCCACACAUUCUCCAUUUUUCAGAUCUUAAACACAGAAGACACUAUCAGAGAUUUCCAGGUGACCACAAUGAGAAAAGGGCCUUUCGUCCCACUACAUCUUGCCUGGGAUGCAAAAUCUUUAGUUUGUUUCCAUUAUUGAUAAAAUAAACAUAUAUAGUACAUGAUUUUAUGUCCCCCAUGUUCAUUUAAACAAUUUAUAGUGUUUAUUAUUUGUCUGAUUUUGGAAAGAAUACAUAUUUACUAUAGAAAACUUUUAAAUGUAGUAAAAAAGAAGAAAAAGCCUGCUGAAAUUCCCUCACUCGGAAGUACUUAUUGUAAACAGUCUCUUUUGUGUAUGUUUGUUUGUGUGUAUUACUAAAUUGUAUGUAUUUUGUAUAUUUAAUUUUAUAUCCUCUUUUAUUCACUCAAAAUUAUACCUUUAGAAUUUUCUCAUAUAAUUAAAUAACUUUUAAUUUAUAAACUUGUGAAAAAAUAGCUUUAUAAUUUUUUAUUUUGGAAAAAUAAUUAUUUAUUGUCCAAGUAUUACCAUAAAAAUACUUUAAAAAAAGAUUAUGCUGCUGACAAAUUUAUGUUAGACUUUUUUCUUUAAUGAUUUCUUCAUAUGUAGUUGUUGUAUAGCUGAGCAUAGGAAAUUAAAAAGCCUCUUUAAAGAUCUGUACUGUCUUGAGGUUGAUAUUUAAAGGAUAAAAGCAACACUAUUUUCAUUUGUAAAAGUAAUUGACAUUUAACAAACAUCGCUAAUAUUUUGGUUUAUAUUCUUCUGGAUCAUUCAAUGCCAAUGUGUGUAUAAAUGAAACAAAAAUAUAAUGAAUUCAACAGUACAUUGCAAAUAUUUUUCUAGUAAUAGUAUAUGCAGUCUACAUCAUCUCUUCUAAUGGCUGUAAGAUUUUCCAUUGUUAGGAUAGAUACAAAUGUAUUUAAUUAAUAUACUGUUAUUGGAUAUUUAUGUUGUAAUUUCUCACUUUUAUGAAUAAAGAUGUGGUGAUCAUC
rnacentral:lncRNA from 1 species